GUGAGAAUGGAGGAGACAAAUGGUGGUUUUCAGACACUUGUCUAUGAAGACGAUUUGCACAAGGAAGAGUAUCCUCCUUACCAUCAGUCUAACAGGAUACAAGUGUCCAUGUUCACUAUGAGUCCUGGGAGACGCCACAGACUGGCUGCAGUGUGCCUGGCACUUCUUGCUGCUGUUCUUCUGAUACUGAAUAUUGGCCUGGGGAUCCACUAGAAGUUGAUCAGGCUUUUGCUUCAUCCCCUGAGACCAGCUGCACUGAAUCAUCACCAGCUUUUGUCCUCAUCUUUUCGCUCAGUGAGGUCUUUCCUUUCCUUGGCCAUUCC